rnacentral:lncRNA from 1 species
GGCCGGGCUUGGCCGCCGCCUCGGCCGGUGCCGCGCCCGGGCUGCCGGUGGUCACUGGGGCCAGCCCCGCUGGGGCCGAGGGCAGGGCUGGGGGAGCUGCUGGGAGCGAACGGAGCUCUGUGCCCAGGGAUGGCCGCGGAGCCUGAGGGACCGGGUGUUCAGAUAGCAAGUUCUCUGAAAAAUCAGCGCACUGCCACAGCAUGAAUUAAGGAGUGAAGGGUCUCUCCUGAUGCUCCAAGGCAAAAUGCUCUUCCAGGAUCUAUUUCCCCCAGUUCUACAUGUUGAAUGAAGAUAUUUCAGUGGCUGAAAGGAUGUCAAUAGAAAACACAUCAGUGGUAACUAAACAUCAAAUGUAAAAUAAUUACUGUAAAUAGCUUUUAAAUAGUAUUGUCCAUUGGGGGGGAAAAAACCAAAACCCAAACACC